ACUUAUUUUAAGUAGAUUGGAAGGCAAAAGAAAAGUGUGCAUAUGUUAAAAACUGUCGUGAAAGUAAUUAUUUAAACCUUUUUAUUUAAUUUAAUAUAUUUUUAAGGGUGUCAGGAAGGGCGUCCGGGGAAAAGCUCUGCCAAACCACCUGUGCUAAUCAGUGAAAGCUGAUUUUUGACAGUUUUGACCCCUGACGGAAUGUGCUGACACACUGUAAACCCGGAUAGUCAAAUGAGCUCAAAAGUUUUAUAAUCACUGAACUCAAAAGUAACAAACAAGUUGAGUCAGCUUAAAACCUAUAAGCCGAUUCAACUUUUGCCACAGUUAUAUGUUUAUUGGACUAAAACAUUUUGAGUAAAUGAAACCUUGGAGUCAAAACUUAUGAGUAAUGAGACGUGAUGACGUCAUAACGUACGCCCAUGAACGUGAACUCAGCCACAGAAGUCUUCAAGAUGGCGGAGGUCUGAUGCGAGUGUCAGCUGGCCCAAGUUGAUAACGCACAUACGUCUAGUGAACCGGCGGUGCGUUUGAAAAAUAAGAGCGUAGAUGUGAGCUGAGUUUCAUCGCAUCACAAAUGUCAACCUGGAAAAACAGUUUUAUUUUGACCUGGAGAGACAGACGCAGAGGAUGCUGAUCUUUUUGAGACAGAAGGCAGCACGAACCGGAAGGCUCUAUGCGACAUUCUGCACCUCUAUGAUAAACAGCAAGAGCAGACUGCUGAUGUCAAAUGUACUUCUGUCCUGUACUGGCUUCUAAUAUACAAACGUGAGGAGGACCCACAGUUUUUCAAAGUUUGGAAUAUUAAAGAGUCACCAGAGGCAGACAUCAGCAGCACCUCUGUUGGCAUUCUGACCGUCAGCAACAACAAUACAAGUUCAGUGCAUUUCUGUCCGCUCAGUACAGCAGUUGUGGUGGAAGAUGAGCUUGUGGUAGGCGACAUUCCCAAAUGGGUAUUUUUUUGAGCGCUAAUGUUUGUAGGGAAAGGGCAGCCUAAGAAAAUACAGUUUUAUGUGGGAAAAGUGUAAAAAAAAAAAAAA